CUUAGAGAAUUGUAAACUGAAAGUUUAAUCAUCUAAAACAAGGACAGUACAAAAAGUGGCUGUGCGAGUUUCCCUAUAUUACCCCAACACACCUCACCUCCAUUCUGGAAGAAUCACCAUUAGGAGAAAGACAGUUUUGGUCUUCAUGCCCGUUUAAUCCUUUACUUCC
rnacentral:sRNA from 1 species